rnacentral:misc_RNA from 1 species
CAGUAUACCCUUGCAUAAAUACUUAGAAU